rnacentral:rRNA from 1 species
UGGAAACGAAUAGCUAAUACCGCAUGAAAUUAGCUUAUCGCAUGAUAAUUAAUUGUAAAGAUGCAAUUGCAUCACUACCAGAUGGACCUGCGUUGUAUUAGCUAGUUGGUGAGGUAACGGCUCACCAAGGCGACGAUACAUAGCCGACCUGAGAGGGUGAUCGGCCACACUGGGACUGAGACACGGCCCAG